GGUAAGAGAGAGAGAAAAAGAAUGAGUUUUAGGGUGGUAUGUCUGAGUCUGAAUUUUACAAAGUGCCCUCAAAAUGAUUUCUCCAUUUUACAGGAUUCUGAAUUCUCCUGGUUUUCCUCUUACCUCAACUGUUCAUUCUUUGUCAGUCUUGUUUGCUGGUUCUUUUUUAUCUGCUGGCUGAAACUGACCUGCCAGCAUUUCAGCUCAUCUAGCAAUUCCAUCUAAAGAAGAUAUCGGAGUUCUUGUCAGUCUACAAUAAAGUUGUCACUGUGCUUUCCUGAUUCCUUCAGGGAAACAUCUGCCUCCUUGAACCUCUCAUAAUGAAGCACUGUCAAAUUACUGAAGGACUACACAUCAUCCAAUAACUAACCUGGAAAGAUCACUUGCCAAUGGCUCCAUGCCACGACAAACAGAUGUUGUCUCUGUCACCUACCUGAAAAAGAGGUCAAAUGUUCCACAACAGACACACUCUGCUGUCCGCCUUGUGGAUAUACAUUAGUCAUUUAUUAAGCUUUUCGUUUUACCCUGGAUGAAAAUCAGAGGUAAUUUUCAGUUUAUUGAGUGACAUAUCAGAUCAUUUUAAAAGCAGACUUAUCUUUAGAGUAAUUAUGCAAUCGAAUCUGACUUCAAGAUUGGAGGACUGCAAAUAGCUUGUCAGAAUGCACGUCAAUUGGCCCUGCCUUUCACGUUCAUGACAGUUAUAUGAACACUAAUCAGUCUUGCCAAAAUAUACAAAAAUAAAUUUCAUAUUAAUAAA